GGUUUUAACCCUAUUACCAAGGUAAUUUGGAGUUCCGACCAUUCGAAAGAAAGUGUUGAACAACUGUAACUUUUAGAACCGCUCUCCCGGGGUAUCCGGUUGGGCAAA
rnacentral:sRNA from 1 species